UGCUGCCAGCGCUCAGUUGUCGCUCGCUCUGCGCUCUGCCCGUCAGCACUCAGCUGUUGCUGCUGCUGCCUGGGAUUUUCCUGACGCCUGCUCUGGAGCACCAACCCCAGCAGGAUGAGCACUGCUGCUCCAGUGGAGACUAUCAGAGACAAUGUGGAGGAGAUGGAAGUGGACAUGGGGCAGAAUGAGGAUGAAAAGAUGGAGGUGGAUGUGAAAGAGCAGGUUGAGGACAUGGAAGUAGAUGUGGAGGAUGACAUCGAGGAGAUGGAAGUGGACGAGAAGGAUGAGGAGGAGCCCAUGGUCCUUGGAUGAAGAUGGAGCCCCACAAGACUGCUGGAGAUGACGGCCGUACAUAUUACGCCUGUGUAUAUACGUUUCAAAAGUUAGAAUAUUUUUGUAAAUAUGUUCUUAGGUUAGUAGUUCACUGCCAAUAUGUUUUGAAGAUUGUUAGUCCAUAGGAUCCCAUGUAAAUAUGUGCUGUGGAUUGUUGUUGUUGUUGUUCUAAGGAUUGUUGUAAUGAAAGGUGUUCUGUAAAUCCUCGUGUUUGCCGAUCUUCGCCAAAUAAAUACUACUUCUUUAUAAAACUUCACUUCUCUUUCUCAUUCCUUUGGGCACUGUCAGAAACCCGGACGUCCCCCUGACCAUCCUAAAUGAUUCCAGCCCCAGCCAGGGGGCUUUAAAUCCCUGGCAGGUGGUUCGGAGACCCUGGCAUGUAGCCAAAGACCCCUGUGCCUUUGAAUUUAACUCAUAAAGCAAGUUACCACCUUUAUGUCAAGAAUUAAAAGUCACAAAAAUUUAGAUAGUCUAGUAAUAGUAAUCACAAAGUUAACGGAAAACAUUUAGAGCACUGUACAAAGAGGUUUUAAACCUUGUGCGAAAGAGUCUGGAAUUCUCUACAUAGAAGUCAAAGGUUCUAAGAUAGAAAAUUUGGGCGUACCCUGUCCUUCCUCUUUCUUCUCCCUAGCAUCCACAUGAAAGAUGAUGUUAGCAUCCACAAAUUGGUUUCAAGUAGAAAGUCACUAUCUAACUUAAGUAAUAGGUAUUAAAACAUUAUUCUAAACAUAGUAUACGCACUUUUUAAUAUAAAAGAUAACACCAACCCGAGAGGCAAA